CCGGGCGUGGCGGCAUACGCCGAUAGCCCCAGCUACUCGGGAGGCCGAGGCAGGAUAAUUGCUUGAAUCCGGAGGGAAGUGGAGGUUUCAGAUCAAGAAGGAAGGAAGGAAAAAGAAAUAGACUUUGCAAGUUAGUAGUUCUGUGACAGAAUUCCAGUGUGUGUAAGACCCUCAGGCAUUCCUCCGAUCCAAACCAAAAGCUGUCUGCAAAGGAUUGUUUUCACAGGAGCAAACCAAGACUUUAUUUCCAGUUUUAUAACCUGCCUUGGGGUCUUGGACUAGGAAGCUAACAGACACAGAAAGCUGAGAUUGUGCAAAGACAGGAUCAACCAUCCACUCCGAGCUCUGGGAGCACGUGAAAUGCGAUUUGAUGUCACCACCACCGUCCGCAGUUCAGUCACAGUUCAUGUGUGGAACGUAACCUGCACAGACGUGAGUUUGCUGACACCCAAGACCUUUUGCACUGAGGAACAGUAGAUAACACUUCAACCCUGUGUGUGUGGGCCAUUUAAAAAAGCAAAACCACCACCAAAAAAAAGGAAAAAAUUAGAAAGAUGUGGCGCUAAACAGACCAAGAAAUGAACCCUUGUUUACAGGUAUUCACUGUGAACGGCCGGGGAAAAAUCUUCAGGAUUAUGAAACCAGGCUGCUACGGACUUAUUCUGAGUUUUUUUAAUUUCAAUUUUUUUAAAGCAUGUUAAUUUCAAUAAAUUGUUACUUAAUUUAGUUCACAUGUAUUUGAUAUGGCUUAAGGAGUUUUUAUUGAGGAUUAGUAUACAUACAGAAAAGUGCAUAUAUACGUUUACAGCUUGAUGAAUUUUCACAAACUGAACCGCCUUGUGGAAUGAACACUCAGUAACAGUGGCACCAGCGUCCUGGGGGUUCCCUUCAACCCCACUUCCAGGCCCAAAAUGAAAAUGCCAAGUAUCUAUGAAGACUCAGAGCAACCUGAACUCCCAUAGAGUUGCUGGUGGGAAUGGAAAAUGAUACAACCACUUUGGAAAACAGUUUGGCAGUUAAACAUACAUAUAUAUGACCCAGCAGUCCCACUCAGGUAUUUACUCUAGGGAAAGGAAAACAUAUGUCCACACGAAUAUCUGUAGGAAGCAUUUAUAGCAGCUGUAUUCGUAA